UCACCAAGCCCAACUCUAUUUCUUAACCAAGCCUAACUCUUUAUAUUCAUUUGUACCACUCCCUCAACCAUUUCUAUAUACCCUAGCCAUCCCCUCCAUCAUCUCUCUUUCCAAAUUCUUCUUCUUCUCUCCUCUGGCUGCCAACUUUAUUUGCCCAACGCCACCGCGUCUGCCUCUCUCCUCUCAAUCCAAAGCAAGCCAGCGUCUCUUUCUCUCUCCAAUCCCUAGAUCUACGUGUUCUCUAUGCCAGAUAUCAUUCCUCAGUGGCAUUUAAAUCUUUGAAAGUUGUUGUAAACUUGAGGCUGGAGUUCAUUCAUUCAUUAUUAUUUAGGAAAAGAAAAUGAAGUUACAACAAUUGACAAUCUGUUGCUAUUUGGAACAGGUACGAAAGUCGCAUGGAUAAAAAGGAAGACUGAAGUAGAGUUAAAAAUGAAGAUGUUGCAGAAAAUUGAAUAUGUUCUUUCAUUUGAAGCCCUGUAGAUGCAGCAACAAAAGAACAAAAGAAUGCAGUUAUAAUUUUAAAUUUGGUUGUAAUUUAAUUUGUUUUAUUAUGUGUAUUUUGUUGUUGGGUUGUAAUUUUAAAUUUAAUAUUGGAUUGUUUUAUUAUUUUUGUCAAAGAAUAGUGGUUGUUUCAAUAUGGGAAUUGGGCCAAUUGUGAUGCUUAAGCCCAAAAAUUUUAAAAAUCA